GACGAACGCUGGCGGCGUGCUUAACACAUGCAAGUCGAACGGAAAGGCCCUUCUUUUGAGUGGUGCUCGAGUGGCGAACGGGUGAGUAACACGCGAGUUACCUUCCUCUGACUUUUGGAUUAUUUCAGGAAACUGUGGCUAAUACCGAUUUAGUGCUCCUGCUCCAUUGUUGUUGUUGGCUAGUUUCGGAGGUUGUGGAUGGACUCGCGGCUUAUUAGCUUGUUGGUUGAGUGCUGGCUUACCAAGGCUUUGUCGGGUAGCCGGCCUGAGAGGGGGACCGGCAAAAGGGGGACUGAGAUACGGCCCAGACUCCUACGGGAGGCAGCAGUAGGGAAUAUUGCACAAUGGGCGGAAGCCGGAUGCAGCAACGCCGCGUGAGGGAUGACGGCCUUCGGGUGGUAAACCGCUUACGCAUGUGACGAAGCGUAAGUGAAGGUAAUGGGCAAAGAAGCACCGGCUAACUACGUG
rnacentral:rRNA from 1 species